rnacentral:rRNA from 1 species
ACGGAAGGCAGCAGUGGGGAAUAUUGCACAAUGGGGGAAACCCUGAUGCAGCGACGCCGCGUGAGUGAUGAAGUAUUUCGGUAUGUAAAGCUCUAUCAGCAGGGAAGAUAAUGACGGUACCUGACUAAGAAGCACCGGCUAAAUACGUGCCAGCAGCCGCGGUACUACGUAUGGUGCAAGCGUUAUCCGGAUUUACUGGGUGUAAAGGGAGCGUAGGCGGUACGGCAAGUCUGAAGUGAAAUCCCAGGGCUCAACCUUGGAACUGCUUUGGAAACUGUCGAACUAGAGUGUCGGAGAGGUAAGUGGAAUUUCUAGUGUAGCGGUGAAAUGCGUAGAUAUUAGGAGGAACACCAGUGGCGAAGGCGGCUUACUGGACGAUUACUGACGCUGAGGCUCGAAAGCGUGGGGAGCAAACAGGAUUAGAUACCCUGGUA